AUGUGCAACAAGGGAUCUCUAAUCCCGUUAUGAGAGGAAGAAUACUCUAAGAUAUGAUUUGGGAAUCUUCGGCCGAAGUAUCGAGCGUAAUAAAGGAAAGCGUUCCUAUACGACUCAAUUGAAUCAUAUAACAUGGAAUAAUCACAUUAGGGGUUGACAUAUAUAUCCAUACCCUAAUAUUGUGAUUGAGAGUAUUGUUUUAGAGAAUGAUCGAAUUACAUUGUAAUUCCAACUGAAUAGGUUCUCCGAACAA
rnacentral:lncRNA from 1 species